AUGCCUUCUCUAUUUUUUUUACGCGAGUCACUCUUCGCUCACAAAGAACUUAGCAAUUUAUUUAGUCCCAUACCGCCUACUGAUCUAAGAUUUCACCUGUUUAAAAGGGGAGCCACAUAUCGUCUCUUAAAGAUUCUAACAUGUAAUAGGAAAAAUGACGCUGUGCAGUGUGAUUCAGUAUGGCGUAUGGGUAUGGGUAUGACCUGUACAUGUGUGUGUGCGUGUGCGUACAGGAAUGGGAUUCAAUAUACUGACAGACAUACGGGGUGCGUACAUGUGUGUGUGUACGUGUGUGUGUGA
rnacentral:rRNA from 1 species